rnacentral:tRNA from 1 species
ACCCAAAUAGCUCAGUUGGAAGAGCAUGAGACUGUGAAUCUCAGGGUCAUCGGUGCGAUACCGAUUGCAGGGA